rnacentral:rRNA from 1 species
GUAAUUCCGGUGAAGAUGCCGGAUACCUGCGACAGGACGGAAAGACCCCAUGGAGCUUUACUGUAGCUUGACAUUGGGUCUUGGUACUACAUGGACAGGAUAGGUGGGAGGCUUUGAAACCAGGACGCCAGUUUUGGCGGAGCCAUCCUUGGGAUACCACCCUUGUAGUACUGGGACUCUAACCAUAGGCCAUGAAUCUGGUCUUGGGACACUGUCAGGUGGGCAGGUUGACUGGGGCGGUCGCCUCCCAAAAGGUAACGGAGGCGCUCAAAGGUUCGCUCAGUACGGUCGGAAAUCGUACGUAGAGGGUAAAGGCAAUAGAGAGCUUGAUUGCAAGACAUAACUGGCGAGCAAGGAAGAAAAUCGGACAUAGUGAGACGGGGGUGCUGCGUGGAAGGGCCAUCGCUCAACGGAUAAAAGCUACCCUGGGGAUAACAGGCUUAUCUCCCCC